AACCUGGUUGAUCCUGCCAGUAGUCAUAUGCUUGUCUCAGAGAUUAAGCCAUGCAUGUCUAAGUACAGACCUUCAUACGGUGAAACCGCGAAUGGCUCAUUAAACCAGCUAUGGUUCCUUUGAUCAUACAUACUACAUGGAUAACUGUAGUAAUUCUAGAGCUAAUACAUGCCACUAUGCCCUGACCCUUCCGGGAACGGGUGGAUUUAUUAGAACAGAACCAAUACAGCUCCGGCUGUUUAUUCUGUGAUGACUCUGGAUAACUUAACUGAUCGCAGUCGGCCUUGUGUCGGCGACGGAUCUUUCAAAUGGCUGCCCUAUCAAUUGUCGAUGGUAGGUGGACCUGC
rnacentral:rRNA from 1 species